AUGAACGCUGGCGGUCUGCUUAACCCAUGCCAGUCGAACGGUACCUUCGGGUAUAGUGGCGGACGGGUGAGUAACGCGUGAGAAUCUAUCUUCAGGUCGGGGACAACAGUUAGAAAUGACUGCUAAUACCGGAUGUGCCGAAAGGUAAAAGAUUUAUUGCCUGAAAAAGAGCUCGCGUCAGAUUAGCUAGUAGGUGGUGUAAGAGACUACCUAGGCUUCGAUCUGUAGCUGGUCUGAGAGGACGAUCAGCCACACUGGAACUGAGACACGGUCCAGACUCCUACGGGAGGCAGCAGUGGGGAAUUUUCCGCAAUGGGCGAAAGCCUGACGGAGCAAUACCGCGUGAGGGACGAAGGCUCUUGGGUCGUAAACCUCUUUUCUCAAGGAAGAUUCAGACGGUACUUGAGGAAUAAGCAUCGGCUAACUCUGUG
rnacentral:rRNA from 1 species